rnacentral:rRNA from 1 species
AUUGAACGCUGGCGGCAGGCCUAACACAUGCAAGUCGAACGGUAACAGGAAGAAGCUUGCUUCUUUGCUGACGAGUGGCGGACGGGUGAGUAAUGUCUGGGAAACUGCCUGAUGGAGGGGGAUAACUACUGGAAACGGUAGCUAAUACCGCAUAACGUCGCAAGACCAAAAAGGGGGACCUUCGGGCCUCUUGCCAUCGGAUGUGCCCAGAUGGGAUUAGCUAGUAGGUGGGGUAACGGCUCACCUAGGCGACGAUCCCUAGCUGGUCUGAGAGGAUGACCCGCUAGCUGGGAACGGAGAAAGGGUCCAGACUCCUACGGGGGGAAGCAGUGGGGAAUAUUGCAGAAGGGAGGAAAGCCGGAUGCAGCAAUGCCGGGUGAAGGAAGAAGGACUUAGGGUGGUAAAGUAAUUUAAGCGGGGAGGAAGGGAGUAAAGUUAAUACCGUUGCUCAUUGACGUUACCCGCAGAAGAAGCACCGGCUAACUCCGUG